GGAUUAGAUACCCUGGUAGUCCAUGCCGUAAACGAUGUCUACUAGCCGUUGGGGCCUUUGAGGCUUUAGUGGCGCAGCUAACGCGAUAAGUAGACCGCCUGGGGAGUACGGUCGCAAGACUAAAACUCAAAUGAAUUGACGGGGGCCCGCACAAGCGGUGGAGCAUGUGGUUUAAUUCGAUGCAACGCGAAGAACCUUACCUGGUCUUGACAUAGUAAGAACUUUCCAGAGAUGGAUUGGUGCCUUCGGGAACUUACAUACAGGUGCUGCAUGGCUGUCGUCAGCUCGUGCC
rnacentral:rRNA from 1 species